GAUGAACGCUGGCGGCGUGCCUAACACAUGCAAGUCGAGCGAGAAUUCUUUAACUGAUUCUUCGGAUGAUUUUAAAGAAGGAAAGCGGCGGACGGGUGAGUAACGCGUAGGCAACCUGCCUCUCACAGAGGGAUAGCCAUUGGAAACGAUGAUUAAAACCUCAUAACGCCAUUUGGAGACAUCUUCUUAUGGCCAAAGAUUUGUCGGUGAGAGAUGGGCCUGCGUCUGAUUAGCUAGGUGGUGGGGUAACGGCCCACCAAGGCGACGAUCAGUAGCCGACCUGAGAGGGUGAUCGGCCACAUUGGAACUGAGACACGGUCCAAACUCCUACGGGAGGCAGCAGUGGGGAAUAUUGCACAAUGGGCGAAAGCCUGAUGCAGCAACGCCGCGUGAAGGAUGAAGGCCUUCGGGUCGUAAACUUCUGUCCUUGGGGAAGAAGAACUGACGGUACCCUUGGAGGAAGCCCCGGCUAACUACGUGCCAGCAGCCGCGGUAAUAC
rnacentral:rRNA from 1 species